UGUUAAAAAAAUUCAUCCAUUUCUAUUGUUAAAAGUUGGGAUGAUUAACGAAAAACCAAACAAUUAUACAAGACAUGUCAUGUAUACCUCAUGCUGAUAUACAAAGACCAAAUUUUAACAAUAGGAAUGGAUGAAUUUUUUAACA
rfam:Gossypium arboreum cultivar AKA8401 contig_3494_3, whole genome shotgun sequence.